CCUUGUGGUGCCAGGCAGGAAUGGCUGCUUGGGGACCCACUGAGCUCCCAGACCUUUCUGCUGUAUCCUCUACCCCUGUAUUUCACUUGGCUCUCUAAAUUGACUCAGCUCCAAGUAAGGUCGGAAACUUCUCCCACAAACAGACCUUCAGUUUCUCCAGCGGGGGGCGCAGGAGGUUGCAGCCAGGCUAACAGAAACCCAGCCCUGCCCACUGGGUGAAACUGCAAGUCGAGAGCGUGGGAAACCAGCAAGUUGAGAGAGGAUCCAGAAGUAACCCCUUCUAAAACGGGAAAGAUGCCUUCCGAAAGCACUUGGCCCUAAAGAGAAAACACUAGGAGGAUGGGAACCAGGGACAGAGAAGCUACUUGCUCUGCAGCUGUUUGGGCCAGUAUGUUCCCUAAUCUUGAUGGCCAUCCUGGGCUUAUUUUCCUGAGAGUCUCUAAGUGACUCACUGCAUCACGUAAAACUAAGAAAAAGGAUGUCCUGAAUUUUCCUGCUUAGAGAGCUUGUUUUUCUUUCCUGUUGCAUCAAAGGGGUCUGUUAAACUUUCUAAAAGUACUAAUCUGACCUGAUAUCUGAAGUAACAGAUAGGAAUUUGGGCUCUUUAAAUGGAGCCCUUCCCCCAUACCUGCAUCUCAUUGAAGAGGCUGAACUUCAAAACAAAAUCAUGUUGGAGAAUUAAGUCUCGUUCCCAGAUUUAAUUUCUUAUUUUUAUAUUGUUGCAUAAGAAAUCUACUCUAUAAGGCAUCUAUUUUCAAAUUUGGAAAAUCUUAUUUUAAGUUCAUUUAUUUAAAGACCAACAAACAAAAACACCAAAUUCACUAGCCCAGGUCUUUAUGGACCACCAUCUCCCCUCCCCGCCUCCAUUUCUCCCUGGAGUAGUGAUUGUGGGGCCACUGCAUGAAUUUUACUCUAUUAUUUAUCUAAUGAGCAAAGCCAAGGCUGGCAAUGCUGAGAAUGCAUGAGGGAAAAAAAGAUAUCACAAUGACAGCACACUCUGCAGCGUUCCAUCCAAAAGCAAAUGAUCCAAUGGCCCCAUCUAGACUGGAGACACCAACUCAUGACUCAGCUGGCCUUGUGGCCCACACCCAGAAGUGGACUCAGUGCAUGAGGACUAUUUUCCACACUCCUAUGAUAGCAUCCCCAACCAAUCAGCAGGACCAUUUCCUAGCCCCUUGCCCACCAAACUAUCUUUUAAAAAACCUGGCUGGGCGCAGUGGCUCACACCUGCAAUCCCAGCACUUUGGGAGUCUGAGGUGGGUGGAUCACGAGGUCAGGAGUUCAAGACCAGCCUGGCUAAGAUGGUGAAACCCUGUCUCUACUAAAAAUACAAAAAAAAUUAGCCGGGCAUGGUGGCAGGCACCUGUAAUCCCAGCUACUUGGGAGGUUGAGGCAGAGAAUUGCUUGAACCCAGAGGCGGAGGUUACAGUGAGCCGAGAUCACUCCACUGCACUCCAGCCUGGAUAACAGAGCAAGACUCUGUCUCAAGGAAAAAAAAAAACAACCUAGCCUCCACAUUUUCAGAGAGGCUCGUUUGAGUAAUAAUAAAACUCUGGUCUCCCAUUUAGCUGGCUCUUCUUGUAUUAAACUCUUUUUCUAUUGCAAUAACCCUGUCUUGAUAAAUUAGCUUCAUCUGGGAAGCAGGCAAGAAGAACUUAUUGGAUGGUUAUAUAGUGGGCUUCUAGCAUGGCCUAGAGAUGCAGAGGCCAUGGCAGAUAAAGCCAACUUCCUCCAACUGAGUAGAGGACUCAGGGGCCCAGAGGAGUCAGAAGGGGAGAUGGGAGCCAAGGAUGAGGAAGAACUCCUGGAAAGGCCUGAGAAAGAAGGACCCUAAGUUUAGCAUCUUAGGUCCCGAAAAAUGGCUGAAGGAGAGGAAAAGAUGGAGAGAAAGAGUAUUGUGACAUGAACCUGCCCCUGUGCCUCGAGUUCCUGGGAGUUUCUUGUUAGCUUCUGUGUCCUGUUUUUCUGUAUCCUCUGCAAAGGAAAGAUGAAAUCUGUUGCCACAUAGGCGAUGGGGUUCAGGACACACUACUCCAAAAGAUGGCAUCUUGUCAUAUUGAAGAAAAUAGCAGAAACUGGACCAUUGGUCUUACCUUUCCCCAUACUUCUCCCCUGAAGUGGAUUAUAAAACCUAGGAAGGACUCUCUGACUGAGACGGUUUGGCUGUGUCUCCACCCAAAUCUCAUCUUGAAUUGUAACUCCCACAAUUCCCACAUGUCAUGGGAGGAACCCAGUGGGAGGUGAUUGAAUUAUGGGGGCGAGUCUUUCCUGCACUGUUCUUGUGAUAGUGAAUGAGUCUCAUGAGAUCUGAUGGUUUGAUAAGGGGAAGCCCGUUUUGCUUGGCUCUCAUUCUCUCUCUUUGCCUGCCACCAUCCACGUAGGAUGUGACUUGCUCCUCCUUGUUUUCCAACAUGAUUGUGAGGCCUCCCCAGCCACGUGGAACUGGAGAAGACCACAGAAGCUCUGCAUUUGGAACUUUUCCUGGAUUCUGUCCCAUUUGCUUCUUCCCAUGACCGAUUUUGAUCUACCACCCUGGCCCAUCAUGCCCCCAUCCUGUACCUAUAAAAACUCUGAGACCCUCGCAGGCAGAGACACAAGCCGCUGGACGUCGAGAGGAACACAUUGGUGGAGGAACUCACAGGUGGCUGGAUGUCAAGAGGAACACACUGGCGGAAGAGCACACUGACAAGCACCAGCAGACAACGGCACGCUGGGGCACGCCGGCAGGCCAUCAACCUGCAGAACGAUGUGGAGUUUGGCCUGGGCAGUCGGAGGAGAGUCCAGCUGCUGAGCAGUCCGACUCCAGGAAAAAAACACCUUCCCAUUCCAUCUCCCUUCUGGCUCUCCCAUCUUCUGAGAGCUACUUCCAUUCAAUAAAACCUUGCACUCAUUCUCCAAGCCCAAGUGUGAUCUGAUUCUUCCGGUACACCAAGGCAAGAAACCCUGGGAUACCGAAAGCCCUCUGUCGUUGCGAUAAGGCAGGGGGUCUAAUUGAGCUGUGUAACACAAGUUGCCUACAGACGGCUAAACUGAAAGAGC
rnacentral:lncRNA from 1 species